UACGGGGGGAGCAAGCGUUGUUCGGAUUUACUGGGCGUAAAGGGCGCGUAGGCGGCGCAACAAGUCACUUGUGAAAUCUCCGGGCUUAACCCGGAGCGGUCAAGUGAUACUGUCGUGCUAGAGUGCGGAAGGGGCUACUGGAAUUCUUGGUGUAGCGGUGAAAUGCGUAGAUAUCAAGAGGAACACCUGAGGUGAAGACGGGUUGCUGGGCUGACACUGACGCUGGAGGCGCGGAAAGCCUAGGGUAGCAAACAGG
rnacentral:rRNA from 1 species